rnacentral:tRNA from 1 species
AAGGAAAUGACAGAGUGGAAAUGUGUCUGGCUUGAAACCAGGUUAUGGGGGUUCAAUUCCUCCUUUUCUCG